AAUUAACGCUGGCAGAGUGCAUAACACAUGCAAGUCGAGCGAGGUGGCGGCGUAUCGCGCCUAGCGGCAGACGAGUGAGCAACACGUAAGCAAUCUGCCCCCAAAAGAGGAAUAACCCGCCGAAAGGCGGGCUAAUACUUCGUACUAUCUUUGAGAGGCAUCUUUCGAGGAUGAAAGGCCAGCAAUGGUCGUUUGGGGAGGAGCUUGCGGCCCAUCAGCUAGUUGGCGGGAUAACAGCCCACCAAGGCUAUGACGGGUACCCGGACUGAAAGGUCGCACGGGCACGGAGGCACUGAGACACGGGCCUCACUUCUACGGAAGGCAGCAGUGGGGAAUUUUUGGGACAAUGGGCGAAAGCCUGAUCCAGCAACUCUGCGUGAGGGAUGAAAUCUUUCGGGAUGUAAACCUCUUUUAUCAGGGACGAAAAAAUGACGGUACCUGGUGAAUAAGCCAC
rnacentral:rRNA from 1 species